rfam:Felis catus isolate Cinnamon breed Abyssinian chromosome X, whole genome shotgun sequence.
GCCCGGGUGGCUCAGUCAGUUGAGCGUCUGACUUUGGCUCAGGUCAUGGUCUCGCCGUUCGUGAGUUCGAGCCCCGCGUCGGGCU